rnacentral:rRNA from 1 species
GUCUAUGGCCAUGCCACCCUGAACAAGCCCGAUCCCAUCUGAUCUCAGAAGCUAAGCAGAGUCGGGCCUGGUUAGUGCUUGGAUGGGAGACCACCUAGGAAGACCAGGUCCUGUAGGCA